CGUAAAGCGUGCGCAGGCGGCUUUGCAAGACAGAGGUGAAAUCCCGGGCUCAACCUGGGAACUGCCUUUGUGACUGCAAGGCUAGAGUACGGCAGAGGGGAGUGGAAUUCCGCGUGUAGCAGUGAAAUGCGUAGAUAUGCGGAGGAACACCGAUGGCGAAGGCAAUCCCUGGGCCUGUACUGACGCUCAUGCACGAAAGCGUGGGGAGCAAACAGGAUUAGAUACCCUGGUAG
rnacentral:rRNA from 1 species